CAGCCGCCGCGGUAAUACGUAGGGUGCGAGCUUUAAUCGGAUUUACUGGGCGUAAAGCGUGCGCAGGCGGCCCGUUAAGACAGGUGUGAAAUCCCUGGGCUCAACCUAGGAAUUGCGCUUGUGACUGGCGGGCUCGAGUACGGUAGAGGGGGGCGGAAUUCCUGGUGUAGCAGUGAAAUGCGUAGAGAUCAGGAGGAACACCGAUGGCGAAGGCAGCCCCCUGGGCCUGUACUGACGCUCAUGCACGAAAGCGUGGGGAGCAAACAGGAUUAGAUACCCUGGUAGUCCACGCCCUAAACGAUGGGUACUAGCCGUUUGGUGCGCGAUAGCGCUGAGUGGCGAAGCUAACGCGUGAAGUACCCCGCCUGGGGAGUACGGCCGCAAGGUUGAAACUUAAAGGAAUUGGCGGG
rnacentral:rRNA from 1 species